CUCAAGUGUUCAUAUGAAGACUUCUAUGUCUUAUCUGAACUAUUUCCAGUGGAUAUUAUGGAAAGAGAUCUGUGUCUUCAUGCUGUUCACUUUGACAUCUCACAUUUCCACAAGACAGACACAGAAGACCAAAUGAGGAAGAAGCUCCUGGGAUGAUUUCACUACACCCAGUUGUGCCUUCCCCAGUUAAACAAGCCUGGAAACACCCUUUCUCACAUAUCCAGAGCUGUAUCUCUCUGGUGAGUAUAAAUCCACUCAAGUAGACCAUGAAGAAAUAACCAUGACAAUGGGCAUCAAGGUAGAUUCAUAUGACAAUUAAACACUAAUAAAAUACCUGCCCAUAAUGGGUUUAAAUUCUACAAGGAGGAGAUAGACAACAAUAUUACUAACAAAGAAAACCUUUUUGGUUUGUUUGUUUUUAGUUUUUUGAGAGAGGGUUUCUCCUUGUAGCCCUGGCUGGCCUUGAACUCACAUAGAUCUGCCUGCAUCUGGUGAGAUUAAAGGCCAGCCCAGCCAAAGAAAAUCUUCUUAAGAGGUAAAUAUGAUUUGGGGAAAUGCAGAGCAGGUAAGGAGAGCUGCAAUAGGAAACUGUUUUAAGUAUGACUGUUAAGGAGAGUGCGUCUAACAGGAACUCCUCCUUCACCCUGUUGACUGCAUGGGCUUCAGUUUGCAUCCUAGAACUAUCUUCCAUCUUUGUGACGUUUUGUCGGCACAGAACCCAGGGUUGCAAGUGUGGAACAGGGGCUCUUUUGAGAGAGAAGCUCUUGGAGAUCAAGUAUCUUGAGGCUGAAAAUUGUUUACUGUGAAGAAGUGAAGACAGAAAAGCUGGCCUUUGUACAGCACACUGAACACUUGCAGCCAAGGAUGGCAGCUGUUGGGCUCUGUGGAGCAAACAUGUCCCUAGCAGCUGGUACUUACACAGUGAUAGGGAGCCAAAACCCUUAAUGAGAGGCUUGUUUCCCACCUCUGCCCACAAUGGAACAACAUCCGUCUUUCUCUAAGUAGAGCUUGCACUUAAUCUGGGCAGACUGAUGGAACAGCUCAGGAGUAGGCAACAUUUGUAAAUGUUUUAAGUACAAAAGAUUUUGCUGUGAUGGCUUCAGAGAGUCUUUUGUGAGUUUUGAGGGCCACAAAUUCUAGAGAGAGCAAUAAGAUGUCUUCUCUAGACAGAAGCUCUAAAGUUAAGCUACAGUCUAACCCUUACAGCUCCACUUACUGAAAAGCCAUUUGCCCACCCUAACCCCCAUCUUCAGUUUUUUCCUGACACCAUUGUGAUAAUCUUUCAUUCUGUGAUUGUGUCUCUACCUAGUCUUACAUUGUAAGAUUGGGGAAUUUUCGAGAGUAUGAGAAAUUCUAAUAGCAUCAUUAUAUAUUGAAAAUUCAAGUAUAUAUUCAAUAAAUAUUUAUUGCACAUCU